UACGUAGGUGACAAGCGUUGUCCGGAUUUACUGGGCGUAAAGAGCGCGCAGGCGGUCGAUCAAGUCGAGUGUGAAAGCCCCCGGCUCAACUGGGGAGGGUCAUUCGAUACUGAUCGACUCGAAGGCAGGAGAGGGUAGUGGAAUUCCCGGUGUAGCGGUGAAAUGCGCAGAUAUCGGGAAGAACACCCGUGGCGAAGGCGGCUCUCUGGGACGGUACUGACGCUGAGACGCGAAAGCGUGGGGGAGCGAACAGG
rnacentral:rRNA from 1 species